rnacentral:rRNA from 1 species
AGAGUUUGAUCCUGGCUCAGGAUUAACGCUGGCGGCAUGCCUAAUACAUGCAAGUCGAACGAAAGUAGCAAUACUUUAGUGGCGAACGGGUGAGUAACACGUAGGAAACCUACCUCAAAGACGAGGAUAACUACUGGAAACGGUAGCUAAAACUGGAUAGGAUAUACGAAGGCAUCUUUGUAUAUUUAAAAGUCCUUCUGGGAAUGCUAUGAGAUGGUCCUGCGGCGCAUUAGCUAGUUGGUGAGGUAAAGGCCCACCAAGGCGACGAUGCGUAGCUGUGCUGAGAGGCAAAACAGCCACACUGGGACUGAGACACGGCCCAGACUCCUACGGGAGGCAGCAGUAGGGAAUUUUCGGCAAUGGGCGAAAGCCUGACCGAGCAAUGCCGCGUGAAUGAAGAAAUUCUUCGGAAUGUAAAAUUCUGUGGUGAGGGAAGAAAAGUAUUAGAAGGAAAUGGCUAAUAUUUGACGGUACCUUACUAGAAAGCCCCGGCUAACUAUGUGCCAGCAGCCGCGGUAAUACAUAGGGGGCAAGCGUUAUCCGGAAUUAUUGGGCGUAAAGCGUGCGUAGGCGGCCACUUAAGUCUGUCGUGAAAGCCCACAGCUUAACUGUGGAGGGUCGAUGGAAACUGGGAGGCUUGAAUCUAGGAGAGGUAAGUGGAAUUCCAUGUGUAGCGGUAAAAUGCUUAGAUAUAUGGAGGAACACCAGUGGCGAAGGCGGCUUACUGGUCUAGAAUUGACGCUGAUGCACGAAAGCGUGGGUAGCAAACAGGAUUAGAUACCCUGGUAGUCCACGCCGUAAACGAUGAGCACUAAGUGUCGGACGUAAGUUCGGUGCUGAAGUUAACGCAUUAAGUGCUCCGCCUGGGGAGUACGGUCGCAAGACUGAAACUCAAAG